rnacentral:misc_RNA from 1 species
AACUUUCAACAAUGGAUCACUAGGCUCUUGCAGCGAUGAAGAACGCAGUAAAGUGCGAAAAGUGAUGUGAUUUGCACGAACCUGUGAGUCAUCUAGUUUUUGAACGCAAAUGGCACCUGGGCGCAAGCUCAGGUAUGUCGGUUUGAGUAUCGAAUAAAGUUAACUCUUGGUUAAGAGUUGGAGUGGCCUUAGCGGGGGGUAUGUACACUAUGUACGUAUCGGUCUUUGGCUUGAAUGCAUUCGUGACGCUCCUUAGGGGCGGCUGACUAUUUGCUAGUCACCGAUUUCGUGUGAAAGUAAUAGUCUGACAUUAACUUUGAUCUCAAAUUGGCAAGAUUACCCGCUGAACUUAAGCAUAUCAAUAAGCGGAGGCU